GAAAGUGCCCCGAAGCUCGCUUUAAUUACGACCGCCAUCGCCCGUUGCUUUUUAACUCCCGAGAGAGAGAGAGAGAGAGAGAGAUUUUUUCUGUUCUUCUUGCUUCUGGGUUAAGCGACAGAGGCCAAUCGGAACGGCGAUGGCGGCGAGGGUGGCGGCGGUAUCGGCGGCGGUUCUCGUCCUGGUCAGCCUCAACGCGGGGUGGGUGGGAGCUCAGGUGCACCACGUGGUCGGCGGCGACCGCGGCUGGGACCCUCGAGCGGCGUCGGGUCCUGGUCCGCCGGCAGGGUCUUCAGGGUCGGAGACAAGCUCUGGUUCGCCUACUCGGCAGCGCAGGAGCGCAUCGUGGAGCUGACGAGCAGGGCCGAGUACGAGUCGUGCGACGUGCGCAACCCGAUCCGGAUGUACACCGACGGCCUCGACGGCAUCCCGCUGGAGGAUCGCGGCGCACGCUACUUCGCGAGCAGCCGGGAGGAGAGCUGCAAGCUCGGCCUCAAGCUCCACGUGGAGGUCCAGCCGAGUGGGGCCCCCGACGCCACCAAGGUGGCCACCUCCGAGGCGGCCGUGCUCGCGGCCGACGCGCCCGCGACGCCGUCCGCCGCAUCGGCCGGUCGCGGCGGCUGGCUCGCCGCGGUCGUGGCCGCCGGACUGGGGCUCUUUGUUGUAGGGCUAUUUUAGUAUGCUCGGAAGGAUGUAUAGGCCCGGCCCAAAAUAUGUAAUCGUCUGGGCCGAAUCAUGUAAGGCCAAGCCUAUCGAUUUGGGCCCCUUUUUUUUUUUGGGGUUUUAAGCUUGUGAAGGUCUUUAGGACAAUUGCUGUUUCUCUUCUGUUCUCAUUUCCUUUUUCCGUGGAAUGAUGUAGUGUUUUGUAUUAGCAGAAGUACCUUAGUAUAGAUUUAUCCAAUUCAAUUUACAACUUUGUCUGCAAAUCUUGCGCUGAGGGAUGGGAAACUUUGUCUUGUUUCAAGUAUAUCAUAUCAAUGAAUAACACGUAAAUCCAUUUCGAACA